rnacentral:tRNA from 1 species
GGGGCCGUAGCUCAGUUGGGAGAGCGCCGCAAUCGCACUGCGGAGGCCGGGAGUUCGAACCUCCCUGGCUCCACCA